UUCUCCGUGUUGGCCAGGCUGGUCUUGAAUCCCUGACCUCAGGUGAUCCACCCACCUUGGCCUCCCAAAAUGCUGGGAUUAUAGGCAUGAGCCACCAUACCCCCCCUGCCUUGAGGAGCUAAGUUCUAAUAUGUGUUGCCUGUGUGUGAGCCCGUUCCCAUGAUGUACACAGGGCUGCCCCUACCACAUAGCCCCAGGGAGCACAGGGCAAUUGCCUGCCGUUUGGACCAGUCUGUUUCUCCUUGUAGGUCAAAGAGACACUUCUCAGCUAUUUUUCUCUCACUUGUAAAGUCACUGAUAGAGAGUAGGAUGGAUUUGGGUGGGGGAAGCCAAAUGAGUGAUGAAAGGAGGGUACCAUUUUGUCCCUAGUGUUGGUAGGGAGCAGCCAUAAUGCCUUCACACGGGUUCUCAGCAUGUUGCUGUCUCACUCCGUUUCUCAUGAUUGUAGAUGACGAUGCCAUUUAUGCAAUGGGGACUUUGCUUCUUGCUCUAAAAACAGUAUAUUGUCACCAACUUACCGGUGAGGAAGCCAAGAUUCACAGGGGCUAAGUAAUUUACCUAAGGUCCUAGACCCAGUAAGGACCCAAGCCAACGUCAGAACCAGCUCUGACAGCAGCUUCCAGCCCCUCCGCAUUUAUGAUGCCAUGCUGCAGGCCGUGGAACAGCAUUCGCCUUGUUCUGUUUAACUAUUCAAGAUGUGUAUUAAGCUGGCUUCUCUGUUUAAAUAUAGAAGAAAAGAAAGCUGCUGUCCUGUGAUCUGUAGACAUUUUUAAGAGGAAGUUGGAGGAGUGAGCAGCCUUUGCCCUUUGACAUGUUGGUCUGCUUUGGUUUCUGACAAUUAGAACGAAGGCACAUGUUUUCUUGGAGAAGGGUCCCUUUGUUUGGUGCCAUUAGCACGAGCUAAGUGACAGUUGGCAAGCCAUCUUUUUCCGCAGACAUUUGGGAGGCCCUGGGCGUACUGGCAGAUAGAACAGAAGAGAGUGGAGGCCUUGGGAAGACAGAGAAGUACGAAUUCAGAGUGCAGGAGAGGUGGGGUCCUGCUCCCCUGGCUUUGGCUCGCAAGGGCUACACAGAAAUGUUGGGAUUGGCUUGAAGGUUCUGAGGACCUUGCUUCUGGAGCUUUGGCAAAAUCCUGGCUCAGAGGAGUGAGUCAGGAUGGCAAGCAGGCUUGAUCACAGGAGGAAUGGAGGGAACGGAGGCCGCUGAACCUGGAAAGGAACAGAUUUAGUUAGAGGAGCCAGGCGCGGAAGACAUCAGGUAGUUGACGUGCUGCCACAGGGAGUAGUGGCCAAUCUUACUUCUCUCCUGGCUUUAGUGGGACAAGAGCCCAUGGCUGUGAGCCCCAGAAUGGCAGAAUUGGCUUCAGCAGGAGGAAGAGUGUAUUUGUGUCUCCCUAGAUGGAGUGGUUUGUGAGAGACACACUUAAUGCAUGUAUUCAUCUUCCCGAUCUAGCUUCUGCUAUGCCUUUCAUGUCUUUGUAAACCUCCGCAAAAUCUAACAAAGUUCAAAUAAGCAUUCAAAUAGUUUUAAUUAAUUGAUUAUACCUGUAGUAUGUUAGAUUUUGAGGCCAGGAAUCAUAUACAUCUAGUACAUGUUUAAGCUUCCACCACACUAAGCAAAUUGUUUUCAAACACAAAUGUGAAAAAAGACAGCAUCGGUACAUCUCCAGUAAUUUUAAAAGCAUGCAUCUGUCAUCGGCGACCACACUGGUCAGUGCAGAGCAGGCGUGCACGUGAAUCUCUGCACUGACCACAUCUGGGCAGAUUCUCCUCGCAGGGUUUCAGAUCUGAUCCAGACCCUGCUAGCCAUGAGUGCUGCUGUGAUUGGAACCCUUUUCUGACUUGCCUGUCAUGUGCUUUCUUCAUUUCUCUUGAAUCUUCGAUGUUUAUUUGGGGUUGAGUUAAGGCAGAAGUGAAUGCUACAGCACUUUUGUGUGCAGUGUGGGAGAGGUAGAGGACUAGAAAGGAAAGAAGGGCCAGGACGUUCUGCCGUGUGUCUUACAUAUUUAGAGAGAACCCCACCCCUAAGAAGCAACAAAUGAACAAUUUUUAAUUAGUCAAAGGCAAAUUAUGUGUACCAUUUUAUUUAUUUAUUUAUUUUUAAUAGAGACAGGGUUUCGCCGUGUUGCCCAGGCUGGUCUCAAACUCCUGGGUUCGAGUGAUCCUCCCACCUCUACGUCCCAAAGUGCUGGGAUUACAGGCAUGAGCCACCACACCUGGCCUGUGUGUCAGGUUUAAUCUGGAAAGCAGCAUUAUUGUCUCCGCUGGCUCCUUUGGAAGACUGGCGUGUAAUACUUGCUCGGAGACUGUGCUGUGCUUUGGGAGGCUGCCCAGGCUUCUUCAGGGAGCAGUGGGAUGGCCGCACUCUUCCCACUGUCCACCUGUCUUUGGCCACAGGAGUGGAUAGGUACAGCUCAGGGAGGCCUUGGAGGCUUGAGGGUUUCAGGGCCAGUGCAGGAGGAGUGCGGUCUCCUGUAGAGUGGAUGGUACAGCUCCUACAGAAUCCCCAGUGCUGCAAGCUACUGACCUAGCAAAUUGAAAGCCCCACACAGAUCAUUUGCAGGUUUAAUAUGCUCCUUUGUACUGUUUGCCAAAUGACGUCGUGAAAGACAGUGAUCUGUGUUGCGGUUGGGUGAGGAGUGCACAUGUGGAACUGAAGGGAACAUAUUUGGGUCCACGUCCGCAAGAGGCUGCAUUCUUAUACACAUACACCCCCGUUUCACUCAGAGCUUUUAAAACUUACCUGCCACUCAAGUGAUUGCAGGUCACAGCCAGCUACCAUGUGCAUACUUUAAGUCUCUUCAGAAGAAUCACAAAAUAAAUAAGCCAAAUCCUAAGACACACACACACACACACACACACACACACACGUGCGCACACACACAUACACACACACAUGUACAUUCUGUCUUUAUGGAAAAUGGCUGCUAAUCCAUGAUCAUUUUUUUUCUAGAAACAGGUUUUAUGAUAAUAUAGUAAAAAUAUUAAAUUAGAAAAUGCCUCACUAAGGGUUAUAAAACCUUACUACACUAGAGAUAGGUAAUUAUCCCCUCUACAGCCUAAAUGACAGUUUAAAAGAAAUAAAAAUGUUAGUGCUCAUUACUUGCUUUUGUAGGUUGCAAUAAAGGGUAAGUUAAAUUUUAAUUCAAGGAAGAGCCCCUGCUAUCGACCUUCUACCUCAGGUCCAAGUCCUGCUAAUUACUCCAGAGGCUGCUCCCCUGCACAAAACCAGUGUAACACGUUGUCGGCAGCGCACCCUCCCACUGCCCAUCAGUGUGUGUGUUGGGGGUGGGGGAUUACAGAUCAGUGAUUCACAUCUUGGUUCUUAAUGUGAUAGGGAGCAGGAAUUAUAUAUGUUAGAAAAAAAAGUUCAUUAUGCACAUAGCCUUAAGGGGACCUUAGGUAUGAAAGAGUACACUUACCCUGGAGAAUCCGAUGGAGACAAGGCCCACCUGGAGGACUGGUAGUUUAGCUUCUCCACGUGGCUAGAUCCCGGUUGGGAAGAUGCAGCCAGGGGACAGGUUCCUGCAGGAGAAGGCGGUGGCCCUCGGUCCCAUGGCACCUUUUUGUAGCCUCGUCUUUAGUUGGAGUUUUGUUUUUCUUGUGAAGGGGUGAGGGCUAUGGACGUGUUUUGCUUCUUUUCAGGAUGUCUUUGCCUUUUCCUAAGCACCGAGGCACCUGCCUAGGUUUGAGGGAAGAAUUGCUCAGUGUACCCUGCAGCUCAGUCUUCAGACUGGGGUAUGCAGAGACUUUCCAAGGGGAGGGUGGACACAGAUAGGAGUCAGUCUCUAGGCGUACACUUUCCUAAAACUGUCUGCCCCAGAGCAGGCCUGCGCUGGAGGGCACGGUCUCCUUUUACCCUCGUCCUUCUCCAGCCUUGAAAAGCCCCCCACCAGCCCGUCCUUAAAGUGACAGGGACCUCUAGCUACCACGGGAAAACCUCCAGGGCCUCAAACACAAAGACAGCUGGAAAUAAGGGUACAGAGAUUAAGAAAGGAAAUGCCUAAGGACUAGAUGACAAGCCCUGUGCGGGCCGGCUGUUCCUGUGUCUUCAUCUGCAGCACAGUCGCAUGAGAACAUGAGUUGAAUUGAGUUGUCAGUUGGUUGAUCAUUUGGUGACAAGUCACUAUGCAAUUUGUGUGUGUGUGUGUGCUGCAUAAUUCAGAAAGAAUGAAAAGAAUCAAGUGGCAUUGCUGUGACAGAACUCUAUCAUUCCUAUCUGCUUGUUUAUAUGGCAUUUCUCAGUGCUUACGUCU